UACGGGGGGGAGCAAGCGUUGUUCGGAUUUACUGGGCGUAAAGGGCGCGUAGGCGGCCAGCACAAGUCAGUUGUGAAAUCUCCGAGCUUAACUCGGAAAGGUCAACUGAUACUGUGCGGCUAGAGUGCAGAAGGGGCAACUGGAAUUCUCGGUGUAGCGGUGAAAUGCGUAGAUAUCGAGAGGAAACACCUGCGGCGAAGGCGGGUUGCUGGGCUGACACUGACGCUGAAGUGCGAAAGCGUAGGGGAGCGAACGGG
rnacentral:rRNA from 1 species